rnacentral:rRNA from 1 species
UACGAGGGGGCUAGCGUUGCUCGGAAUUACUGGGCGUAAAGCGCACGUAGGCGGAUCUUUAAGUCAGGGGUGAAAUCCUGGAGCUCAACUCCAGAACUGCCUUUGAUACUGAGGACCUUGAGUUCGGGAGAGGUGAGUGGAACUGCGAGUGUAGAGGUGAAAUUCGUAGAUAUUCGCAAGAACACCAGUGGCGAAGGCGGCUCACUGGCCCGAUACUGACGCUGAGGUGCGAAAGCGUGGGGAGCAAACAGG